AACGUAGGAGACGAACGUUAUCCGGAGUUACUGGGCGUAAAGGGCGUGUAGGCGGUAUGUUAAGUCUGGCGUGAAAGCUCUCGGCUAAACCGGGAGAGGUCGUUGGAUACUGACACACUAGAGGAUGGUAGAGGCGUGUGGAAUUCCGGGUGUAGUGGUGAAAUGCGUAGAUAUCAGGAGGAACACCGGUGGCGAAGGCGCACAUCUGGCCCAAUACUGACGCUGAGGCGCGAAAGCUAGGGGAGCAAACGGG
rnacentral:rRNA from 1 species